GUCUCUGUUGUUAUCUCACCAUUUCCAGCUUUGAGUGCGAUCAAAAACUCACUUCCCAACUCACCGCCCUCUACGCUCUAAUCACACCCCUGCAUUAAAGACAGCAUAGCACUUCUGGUGAAGGAUCCACCAUGCUCCGUUCCGUUCAUGACAACAAUCACUUCAUUAACAGAUGGAGAAGUACUUUUCCAGCCCUCAUGGAUUCAAAGUCCUCCAAGAGAGAACCCAUUUGCAUUAUUAGGUGCCUCUUUUAUUUAUUUAUAAAGUUUCAUUUUUUUA
rnacentral:lncRNA from 1 species